CAUAUGUAUGUAUAUGUUGAAUGAAUAAUGUGGAAAAUACUGAAUUUGCUAUGGACAUACUUCUUUAUUUCUCGGAAUUCUCUGAUUGGUAUUUGCAACUUAUUAUCAACAGCUUAGACUGUUGAGGGUGUCGGAAAUAUUUCGAACGGAUUGUUUGAUCUGUGUACUUGUUCAGUAGAAAGAGGGUUGGCAUAUUAGCCGACCCCAACAAGAAAAGAACGCGAUUCUUGAUUGCUCGCAGGUGCAUUCUUAUAGCAUAAAGGGAUUCUGUUUCCAGUUUUUAGUGGUUCGAGAAAUUCUAUAAUCAGCACUGAUUUCCAAAGCACAACUUCCCUGGAGGACUUGAAAAGAGCAUGCAGGGUUUGUCGGGAAAGUAAUAGAACUAAUUAUCUUCCGCUGUAACUUUACUUCGAAGCGUGCGCGCACCGACUGGAUUCGGUAGAGGGCGUUCUGAGCUAACGAACGAGCGGCUGUGACCUUAGCGGCGCAGGAAACAUUGAAAUAUUGAGGCAUUGAAAGGCGCAUGACAAGCAUAAUCAAAGAAAAAGCAAGAAAUUCGUCAAAAGCGAAGGAAACAAGAACAAAAUCUGAAUAAUAAACUAGAGAAAUGAGGAUGUGCGGCAGCAGCUGCUGUGAGGAAGGAUGUGGCAGAGGACGUGAGCAAUAAUGUCAGGAAGCUAUUGGCAAGCCAGGAUGUGCGUCAGGCGUAGAAGAUGCGCAUUGAGCGCUGAGCACGAGACAAGGAAUGAGCGGUGACGUUUCCUUUGAAGGAGAGAGCGCAAAAGUGAAACCUCUAUUUAUAUAUUGUGUAGUCGAAAAAGUUUUUUCGUAUAUUGUAUAUUUUUACAUAUUUGUUUAUUUAUUUAUUAGUAUAAAUAUAAAAAAAAUAAGUUGAAGUUUUAUUAGAAAUACGAAAAUACUUUUUCGACUAACCAAUAUAAUGGUAGUUUACACUUCAUCUUCUCUGACAACUUCACCCCAUGCCACUAAUAAAAGGAAGCCACUCUCUAGAUGUGAAGAAAGUUGCAAAAUAUUUAUACUACAACAAAAGCAAAAAAAAAACUAAAUUAUAUUUAACUUUA